AGAGUUUGAUUCUGGCUCAGAACGAACGCUGGCGGCGUGGAUAAGACAUGCAAGUCGAACGAGAGAAUUGCUAGCUUGCUAAUAAUUCUCUAGUGGCGCACGGGUGAGUAACACGUGAGUAACCUGCCCCCGAGAGCGGGAUAGCCCUGGGAAACUGGGAUUAAUACCGCAUAGUAUCGAAAGAUUAAAGCAGCAAUGCGCUUGGGGAUGGGCUCGCGGCCUAUUAGUUAGUUGGUGAGGUAACGGCUCACCAAGGCGAUGACGGGUAGCCGGUCUGAGAGGAUGUCCGGCCACACUGGAACUGAGACACGGUCCAGACACCUACGGGUGGCAGCAGUCGAGAAUCAUUCACAAUGGGGGAAACCCUGAUGGUGCGACGCCGCGUGGGGGAAUGAAGGUCUUCGGAUUGUAAACCCCUGUCAUGUGGGAGCAAAUUAAAAAGAUAGUACCACAAGAGGAAGAGACGGCUAACUCUGUGCCAGCAGCCGCGGUAAUACAGAGGUCUCAAGCGUUGUUCGGAAUCACUGGGCGUAAAGCGUGCGUAGGCUGUUUCGUAAGUCGUGUGUGAAAGGCGCGGGCUCAACCCGCGGACGGCACAUGAUACUGCGAGACUAGAGUAAUGGAGGGGGAACCGGAAUUCUCGGUGUAGCAGUGAAAUGCGUAGAUAUCGAGAGGAACACUCGUGGCGAAGGCGGGUUCCUGGACAUUAACUGACGCUGAGGCACGAAGGCCAGGGGAGCGAAAGGGAUUAGAUACCCCUGUAGUCCUGGCAGUAAACGGUGCACGCUUGGUG
rnacentral:rRNA from 1 species